CAGCAGCAACAUUUCAUUGGCAAACCAAUCUCUUCUUCGCCGGUAACAUCUCCAGCUCCAGCGAAGACCCACUUUCAGGGUAGCCAAUAUCAACGGCUCAUCCCCACUCUGGCAGCGACAUCUCAUCCCCGUUCCUGCAACAGCAUCUCCAACUGGGGUGAAGACUCCUUAAGUAUUUCCAGAGUUGAGAUUCAUGCAUCCUUGCCCUUUCAAGUUGAGAGAAUAUUCG